GAUGAACGCUGGCGGCGUGCCUAAUACAUGCAAGUCGAGCGAACGGACGAGAAGCUUGCUUCUCUGAUGUUAGCGGUGGACGGGUGAGUAACACGUGGAUAACCUACCUAUAAGACUGGGAUAACUUCGGGAAACCGGAGCUAAUACCGGAUAAUAUUUUGAACCGCAUGGUUCAAAAGUGAAAGACGGUCUUGCUGUCACUUAUAGAUGGAUCCGCGCCGCAUUAGCUAGUUGGUAAGGUAACGGCUUACCAAGGCAACGAUGCAUAGCCGACCUGAGAGGGUGAUCGGCCACACUGGAACUGAGACACGGUCCAGACUCCUACGGGAGGCAGCAGUAGGGAAUCUUCCGCAAUGGGCGAAAGCCUGACGGAGCAACGCCGCGUGAGUGAUGAAGGUCUUCGGAUCGUAAAACUCUGUUAUUAGGGAAGAACAUAUGUGUAAGUAACUGUGCACAUCUUGACGGUACCUAAUCAGAAAGCCACGGCUAACUACGUG
rnacentral:rRNA from 1 species